ACUAGUAAUCGCAGAUCAGAAUGCUGCGGUGAAUGCGUUCCCGGGUCUUGUACACACCGCCCGUCACACCACGGAAGUUGGGGGCGCCCGAAGCCACUUAGCUAACCCAUUUGGGAAGCGAGUGUCGAAGGUGAAAUCAAUAACUGGGGUGAAGUCGUAACAAGGUAAC
rnacentral:rRNA from 1 species